rnacentral:rRNA from 1 species
UACGGGGGGAGCAAGCGUUGUUCGGAAUUACUGGGCGUAAAGGGCUCGUAGGUGGCCAACUAAGUCAUACGUGAAAUCCCUCGGCUUAACCGGGGAACUGCGUCUGAUACUGGAUGGCUUGAGGUUGGGAGAGGGAUGCGGAAUUCCAGGUGUAGCGGUGAAAUGCGUAGAUAUCUGGAGGAACACCGGUGGCGAAGGCGGCAUCCUGGACCAAUUCUGACACUGAGGAGCGAAAGCCAGGGGAGCAAACGGG